UGGAAACUUACUAAGUGAUCACUUUCAAAUUCAGAGAAACCCUGGAAUUAACAAAAAUGGGCAAUCCUGAGCCAAAUCCUGUUUUCCGAAAACAAACAAAGGUUCAGAAAAAAAGGAUAGGUGCAGAGACUCAAUGGAAGCUAUUCUAACAAAUGGAGUUAAAUGCGUUGGUAGAGGAAUCUUUACAUCGAAACUUCAGAAAGAAAAAGAAUGAAGUGAAGGAUAAACGUAUAUACAUACGUAUUGAAUACUAUAUCAAAUGAUUAAUGAUGACCCGAAUCCGUAUUUUUUCUAUAAAAAAUAGAAGAAUUGGUGUGAAUCGAUUCUACAUUGAAGAAAGAAUCGAAUAUUCAUUGAUCAAACCAUUCACUCCAUAGUCUGAUAGAUCUUUUGAAGAACUGAUUAAUCGGACGAGAAUAAAGAUAGAGUCCCGUUCUACAUGUCAAUACCGGCAACAAUGAAAUUUAUAGUAAGAGGAAAAUCCGUCGACUUUAAAAAUCGUGAGGGUUCAAGUCCCUCUAUCCCCAAAAAGACUAUUUCACUCCCCAACUUUUUAUCCGACCCCCU
rnacentral:precursor_RNA from 4 species